rnacentral:rRNA from 1 species
CCUACGGGUGGCAGCAGUAGGGAAUCUUCCACAAUGGUCGAAAGCCUGAUGGAGCAACGCCGCGUGGGUGAAGAAGGUCUUCGGAUCGUAAAACCCUGUUGUUAGAGAAGAAAGUGCGUGAGAGUAACUGUUCACGUUUCGACGGUAUCUAACCAGAAAGCCACGGCUAACUACGUGCUAGCAGCCGCGGUAAUACGUAGGUGGCAAGCGGUAUCCGGAUUUAUUGGGUUUAAAGGGUGCGCAGGCGGCGUGUCAAGCAAGCGGUAAAAUAGCGGGGCUCAAACCCGUCGAGCCGUUUGAACUGGCGCGCUCGAGUUCAGGCGAGGUAGGCGGAAUUCGUGGUGUAGCGGUGAAAUGCAUAGAUAUCACGAAGAACUCCGAUUGCGAAGGCAGCUUACCAGUCUGCGACUGACGCUCAGGCACGAAAGUGUGGGUAUCGAACAGGAUUAGAUACCCGUGUAGUC